rnacentral:rRNA from 1 species
GCCUAUGAGCAAAUCACCCGGCAUGUGCCUGCUCUUGUCAGAUCCUCGGAAGCUAAGCUGGGGUUGAGCCUGGAUAGUGCUUGGAUGGGUGGCCACCGUGGACAAACACUUUUUUUAUCGGCG